rnacentral:piRNA from 1 species
GCAUGUAAGAUGUGCCUUUCACCUUCUGCC